UUGAAACACCGGUUGCCGUAAGAUCACCGAUGUUAAGUAACGUUGAGCCUGGUCUGUACCUAGAUGGAUGAUCGCUUGCGAAUACCAGGUCCUGUA